rnacentral:rRNA from 1 species
CGAACGCUGGCGGCAGGCCUCAAACAUGCAAGUCUAGGGGGUGUAGCAAUACAUCACCGGCGGACGGGUGCGCAACGCGUGGGAAUGUACCUAUUGGUUCGGAACAACUGAGGGAAACUUCAGCUAAUACCGAAUGUGCCCGAAAGGGGAAAGAUUUAUUGCCAAUGGAUCAGCCCGCGUAGGAUUAGCUAGUUGGUGAGGUAAUGGCUCACCAAGGCUCCGAUCCUUAGCUGUUCUGAGAGGAAGAUCAGCCACACUAGGACUGAGACACGGCCCAGACUCCUACGGGAGGCAGCAGUUGGGAAUCUUGGACAAUGGGGGAAACCCUGAUCCAGCCAUGCCGCGUGAGUGAUGAAGGCCUUCGGGUUGUAAAACUCUCUCGACGGGGACGAUAAUGGCGGUACCCGUAGAGAAGCUCCGGCUAACUUCGUGCCAGCAG